GGCUCAUUCAAACCAUAGCAAUAGGGUAUGGGGAACACCCUAGUCCCAAAAUACAUUCUCUUCAUGACCUGCAGGCCCAUCAUGAUCUGAAGGCAGCGGUGGUUGCUGAUGGAGGAUGUGAGCUUUGGAACUGGAUCUCUUUGAUUCAAAGCUCUGCCGCUUACUCACUGGAUAAGACCAUGAUCAAGUUAUUUCAUCUGAAAAAUUGAGUUGACCGCAGGUAACUGAAACUGCGGAAAGUGAAACCGCAGAUAAGAGGGACCACUGUAAAUAAGUGACAUGAAUGAUACUGCAAAGGACCAUAGCCUAACCGGCCAAGCAAACUGGAAGUACCUUUAGACUCACGCUUUGCCAAGCUCUGUUCCAGAAUCACAUGAUGAAAAGAAUGAUGGAAAGAAAAUGUUUGUGAUAUUAAAAUUAAGGAAAUUACUCCAAC